rnacentral:rRNA from 1 species
ACUCCUACGGGAGGCAGCAGUGAGGAAUAUUGGUCAAUGGGUGCAAGCCUGAACCAGCCAUCCCGCGUGAAGGACGACUGCCCUAUGGGGUUGUAAACUUCUUUUGUAUAGGGAUAAACCUACCUCGUGAGGGUAGCUGAAGGUACUAUACGAAUAAGCACCGGCUAACUCCGUGCCAGCAGCCGCGGUAAUACGGAGGGUGCAAGCGUUAUCCGGAUUUAUUGGGUUUAAAGGGUCCGUAGGCGGACUUAUAAGUUAGUGGUGAAAGCCUGUCGCUUAACGAUAGAACUGCCAUUGAUACUGUAAGUCUUGAGUAUAUUUGAGGUAGCUGGAAUAAGUAGUGUAGCGGUGAAAUGCAUAGAUAUUACUUAGAACACCAAUUGCGAAGGCAGGUUACCAAGAUAUAACUGACGCUGAGGGACGAAAGCGUGGGAGCGAACAGGAUUAGAUACCCUGGUAGCGACUGA